rnacentral:rRNA from 1 species
CCUACGGGGCGCAGCAGCCGCGGUAAUACGUAGGUGGCAAGCGUUGUCCGGAUUUACUGGGUGUAAAGGGCGUGCAGCCGGGCUGACAAGUCAGAUGUGAAAUCCCGCGGCUCAACCGCGGAACUGCAUUUGAAACUGUCAGUCUUGAGUACCGGAGAGGUCAUCGGAAUUCCUUGUGUAGCGGUGAAAUGCGUAGAUAUAAGGAAGAACACCAGUGGCGAAGGCGGAUGACUGGACGGCAACUGACGGUGAGGCGCGAAAGCGUGGGGAGCAAACAGGAUUAGAAACCCUUGUAGUCCCAGGAA